rnacentral:rRNA from 1 species
ACUCAAAGGAAUUGACGGGGGCCCGCACAAGCAGUGGAGCAUGUGGUUUAAUUCGACGCAACGCGCAGAACCUUACCCGGGCUAGAAAAGUACGGUAGUCGGUGGAAACACUGAUUUGCUCGCAAGAGAGCCGUAAUCCAGGUGCUGCAUGGCUGUCGUCAGCUCGUGUCGUGAGAUGUUGGGUUAAGUCCCGCAACGAGCGCAACCCUUGUCCUCAGUUGCCAUCAUUUAGUUGGGCACUCUGAGGAGACUGCCGGCGUCAAGCCGGAGGAAGGUGGGGAUGACGUCAAGUCCUCAUGGCCCUUAUGUCCGGGGCUACACACGUGCUACAAUGGUCGAUACAGAACGUCGCGUACCCGCGAGGGGAAGCCAAUCGGCAAAAGUCGACCUCAGUACGGAUUGCAGGCUGCAACUCGCCUGCAUGAAGCCGGAAUUGCUAGUAAUCGCUGAUCAGCAGGCAGCGGUGAAUACGUUCCCGGGCCUUGUACACACCGCCCGU